CUCGUUCAGGCAAAUGCGAAAUAAGUGCACUCAGGCUAUCCGGAAGGACAAAGUUAGUUACUUUAAGGAGAAGUUCUCUCUCUGUGGGUCUAUACAUAUCAAAGCUGCAGGCUAAGGUUAAAUCUAGACGUGGUUUCCUCUAUCGUAAUCACUCCUCUUUCACCCCAGCUGCCAAACUAACCCUAACUCGGAUGACCAUGCUACCCAUGCUAGAUUACGGAGACAUACUUUAUAGAUCGGCAGUGCUCGGAUCUUGUCCCCUGGACCUUGGAGGACUUUUGGUGUGGAUGAUGUUCAGUACGUUCUGUACAUUGCAAUGGAAGCAGUGAUUUCACUGAGGAAAACAUGCAGCAAAUUAGGCGAUGGUGGUGCCUAGUUCUCCUGCAGAACUUUCUCAUGCUGUCUGAAUAAGAGAGGUCGAAAGAUCUUAAAAGGCGGUGAAAACAAACACACGACAGGAUGAUGUAGAAGACGUUGCUGUCCCUUUUUUUUUCCUGGAGAGAAGUAGCCUCUUUGCUGCCCUUCUUGACACCAGGCCAUCCUCCAAAAGUCUUCGCCUCACUGUGCAUGCAGAUGCACUCACACCUGCCUGCUGCCAUUCCAGAGCAAGCUCUGUACUGGUGGUGCCCCGAUUCCGUAGCUGAAUCAACUUUAGGAGACGGUCCUGGCGCUUGCUGGACUUUCUUGGGCGCCCUGAAGCCUUCACAACAAUUGAACCGCUCUCCUUGAAGUUCUUGAUGAUCCGAUAAAUGGCUGAUUUAGGUGCAAUCUUACUGGCAAAAAUAUCCUUGCCUGUGAAGCCCUUUUUGUGCAAAGCAAUGAUAACGGCACGUGUUUCCUUCCAGGUAACCAUGGUUGACAGAGGAAGAACAAUGAUUCCAAGCACCACCCUCCUUUUAAAGCUUCCAGUCUGUUAUUUGAACUCAAUUAGCAUAACAGAGUGAUCUCCAGCCUUGUCCUCAUCAACACUCACACCUGUGUUAACGAGAGAAACACUGAUAUAAUGUCAGCUGGUCCUUUUUAUGGCAGGGCUGAAAUGCAGUGGAAAUUGUUUUUGGGGAUUCAGUUCAUUUGAAUGGCAAAGAGGGACUUUGCAAUUCAUCUGAUCACUCUUCAUAACAUUCUGGAGUAUAUGCAAAUUGCCAUCAUUCAAACUGAGGCAACAGACUUUGUGAAAAUUAAUAUUUGUGUCAUUCUCAACUUUUGGCCACGACUGUAUAUAUAUGCGCUCAAUGAAACAAUAUAAUUACAACGUAACAUUUAUCAGCACAAUUUUAACAGUACACGACAUACAUAACAAGUCUGUUCACUGCAACAAUAUCAGUAGCUUGUCUCAAAUAUAGCAUGAAGCAAAAAUUGUUACAACACAUCUGCUGGUACUUUAUAUAAUAUUUCUUACGAUCUUCAAAAAUGAAAUAUGUUUGUAUUCAA